UACGGGGGGAGCAAGCGUUGUUCGGAUUUACUGGGCGUAAAGGGCGCGUAGGCGGCGUGACAAGUCACUUGUGAAAUCUCCGGGCUUAACUCGGAACGGUCAAGUGAUACUGUCGUGCUAGAGUACAGAAGGGGCAACUGGAAUUCUCGGUGUAGCGGUGAAAUGCGUAGAUAUCGAGAGGAACACCUGAGGUGAAGACGGGUUGCUGGGCUGACACUGACGCUGAUGCGCGAAAGCCAGGGGAGCAAACGGG
rnacentral:rRNA from 1 species